UUCGCAAUGCCCGAAAGGGUGACGAAGCGACGCCGCGUGGGUGAGGAAGGCCUUCGGGUUGUAAAGCCCUGUCAGGAGUUAAGAAAUAUAAGUGCGUUAAUAUCGCAUUUAUUUGACGAAGGCUCCAAAGGAAGCCACGGCUAACUCUGUGCCAGCAGCCGCGGUAAUACAGAGGUGGCAAGCGUUGUUCGGAAUUAUUGGGCGUAAAGAGCACGUAGGUGGGUUUAUAAGUCAGAUGUGAAAGCCUUCUGUUCAACGGGAGAAUUGCAUCUGAAACUGUAGGUCUUGAGUAUAGGAGGGGAGAAUGGAACUUCUGGUGGAGCGGUGAAAUGCGUAGAUAUCAGAAGGAACGCCGGCGGCGAAAGCGAUUCUCUGGCCUAUUACUGACACUCAGUGUGCGAAAGCUAGGGGAGCAAACGGGAUUAGAUACCCCGGUAGUCCUAGCUGUAAACGAUGGGCACUAAGUAGAGGGGUUUUA
rnacentral:rRNA from 1 species